rnacentral:misc_RNA from 1 species
AAGUCGUAACAAGGUUUCCGUAGGUGAACCUGCGGAAGGAUCAUUAUCGAAUACUGGGUAGGCUCUCAGCGCCUCGCUCACUCGCUGAGCGGGCUAAGGGGGUCGACCCGCGUCCCUUCAAACCCCUGUGAACCUUUAAACGCAUGCUGGGCGACGCCUUCGGGUCGAGCUCGAUGCUAUUACAAACUCUAGUCUAUACUAUGUCAUAGCGGGCUAACGCCUGUCUAAACAAUGAAACAACUUUCAACAACGGAUCUCUUGGCUCUC